CUCUCGUCGGUCCCGGAGAACAGCCCCAGCCUCUCUCCGACGGGGCGGCGGUGUCGGCUGAGGAGAACCUAGCACGAAGCGGGCGGGCCGCGGCCACCACGUCCCGCCUCACGGCCCCAGCGAACCCGGCGGGGAUGUAAAACAUGGAAUCAUCACCCAGACUCCAGCUUUAGAGCAACUUGCCUGUGUUCCUAUCAGCACUUCGGUUUGUGUUCAUCAACACGAUGCCAUACAUCCACCUUCUCCCACCAGGAUCUGCUCUGUUAGCCAGGAAUAUCAUCCUCACACACCAGCAUUCCCUGCAGGCAUUUGCAAAAUAAAAGGAAAAGCUGAGUUCCAGAGGUGAGGAUCCAGUGGCUCAGACAAAGCAGCAAUAGAAGAUGUGAGAUUUGGGCCAAAGCAACCUCCUGAUGCUGCUGCUGUGGCUCCUUCUGGCAUCACCACCUCUCCCCAUGUUUGAUGGGCACAGGGACAGAGGGUAGGUGUGCACUCCAGUGACAGACAUCUUAUUUGACAUUUUAGUCACAAAUCCCUUGUGGCAAAAAAUGAGCACCUGAAGGGCUGCUGGGAUUCCUGAGGAUUCACAGGAUGGGGAGGUUAAAGAUGUGUCAGGCAGUUAAUGGGCAGCUCCAAGCACGCUCUGCUUCUCAGUGCAGCAAAGGUUACAAAGCAGCAUCCAGCCUCAGCUCAUUGUAUAAACACUGCUAUUUUUAGGCACUUUAUCAGGUGUGCAGCUUGCAGGAUACCACACUCACCUGCUGUGCUGCUCGCAGCACAAAUCACCAAAGGCUUUAAUUGCAUCAGUCUGUGUUACAAUCACAGAAUCAUUUGGGUUGGAAAAGAUCCUCAAGUUCAGCCACUAAUGCAGCCCUACCCCAUGUCCCAAGUGCCACAUCCACAUGGCUUUUGAAUCUCUCCAGGGAUGGUGACUUCACCACUGCCCCAGGCAGCUGUGCCAGUGCCUGAUCACUCUUUCAGUGACAAAUUUUUCCCAAUAUCUGAUCUGAACCUGUCUUGGCACAAUUUGAAGCUAAUUCCUUUCAUCCUGUCCCUGUUCCUUGGGAGCAGAACCUGACCCCCACCUGGUUGGCCCCUCCUGUCAGGAAGUUAUGCAGAACCAGAAGGUUCCCACUGAGCCUCCUUUUCUCCCCAGCUCGUUCAGCUGCUCCUGGUGAGGAGCUCUGUUCUCUGUGAACAUGCUCCAGCCCCUCAAUGUCUUUCUUGCUGGGAGGGGACCAGGACUGCCCCCAGGACUGGAGGUGCCUCAGCAAUGCCCAGGGGGACAGUCACUGCCCUGGUCCUGCUGGCCACAAUGUUCCUAACAGGAUGUAUCACCAGUGCUGUAGGACAGAGAAGGUGACUUCUUGACUGUCUCAGCACCCUCUAAACUGUCACUAUUCUUUUCCUCUUCUGCAUCUGAAUAAAAAUGAAAUGUUAGGUGAUGUUAAUAAAACUUCUCAAAUGGUC